CAGUGUCUUGCUAUGUUGCCCAGGCUGGUCUCUGAUUCCUGGCCUCAAGUAAUCCUCCUACCUCAGACUGCUAGGAUUACAGGUGUGAGCUACUGUGCCUGGCCAUGAUUCUUGUGAUAAGAUCUAUGUCCUGGAAAUAAAGAAGACCCCUUUCUCUGUUGCAUAGAGGAUGAAUUACAGAGAGGUGGAUAGUGGACAAGAAGAGACAGGCUGAUGCAACAAGCAGCAGAUAAAGGAGGCUACAAUUAGGACCAAUGGGUGGAACUUCAAGGGAGGCAAAUGCAAAUGUAAUCUCAAGGAAUGGUAGAACUUUUCAACAGAGUUGCCCCACUCUGGAGAGUUGGAAGUCCCCAUCUCAAAA
rnacentral:lncRNA from 10 species